CUGCAUACCAAUUGUUGCUGGAAUUGUAGCCAGAUUUGGUGCAGUAACUGUGAUAAGUCCACUAGAAUUGAUUAGAACCAAGAUGCAGUCCAAGAAGUUUUCUUACGUGGAACUGCAUCGAUUUGUCAGCAAGAAAGUAUCUGAAGAUGGUUGGAUUUCCCUUUGGAGGGGCUGGGCUCCUACUGUUCUUAGAGAUGUACCUUUCUCAGCAAUGUACUGGUAUAACUAUGAAAUUUUAAAGAAGUGGUUAUGUGAGAAAUCUGGUUUAUAUGAGCCAACAUUUAUGAUCAACUUUACUUCAGGGGCAUUGUCUGGUUCUUUUGCUGCUGUUGCAACUUUACCAUUUGAUGUAGUAAAAACACAAAAGCAGACACAACUUUGGACAUAUGAAAGUCAUAAAAUUUCUAUGCCUUUGCAUAUGUCAACCUGGAUUAUAAUGAAGAACAUUGUUGCUAAAAAUGGAUUUUCCGGAUUAUUUUCAGGCCUAAUUCCUCGCUUAAUUAAAAUUGCUCCUGCUUGUGCCAUUAUGAUCAGUACAUAUGAAUUUGGAAAGGCUUUUUUCCAGAAACAAAAUGUUCGAAGGCAGCAAUACUAGUGAUGCUGUUUCAACUUGAAACAACAACUAUAGCCAAAGAAGAUGGAGACUCUUAGGCAAGAAUGUUUUUCACCAUUAUUCUCUCACAAUGAUUUUAUGUCUUUCUUUCCUAUAAUUUAAAUAAAUAAUUUCAGCUCUACCUCUAAAUCAUAAUUUUAAAAUAAAUUUUAUCUUAUUUUUGGUGAUAUUGAAAAAGAUAUUCUAGAAAUCACCACCAUUGAGCAUUCUUGUAAAAAUAGAUUACUCCUUAGCAUCAAAAGCAGUCUCUUGAAAGUUUAAUAUUAUAUGUUUCAGUGUAACAUAAUCUUACUGGGAGUGUGUUGAAUACACCAGAACUU
rnacentral:lncRNA from 1 species